rnacentral:rRNA from 1 species
UUCGCCCUUAGAGUUUGAUCCUGGCUCAGGAUGAACGCUGGCGGCGUGCCUAACACAUGCAAGUCGAACGGAGCUGUGAGAGCUUGCUUUCACAGCUUAGUGGCGGACGGGCGAGUAACGCGUGAGCAACCUGCCUUUCAGAGGGGGACAGCGGUUGGAAACGACCGCUAAUACCGCAUAACACAGCGAGGUCACAUGGCCAUGCUGUCAAAGGAGCAAUCCGCUGAAAGAUGGGCUCGCGUCCGAUUAGCUAGAUGGUGAGGUAAAGGCUCACCAUGGCGACGAUCGGUAGCCGAACUGAGAGGUUGAUCGGCCGCAUUGGGACUGAGACACGGCCCAGACUCCUACGGGAGGCAGCAGCGGGGAAUAUUGGUCAAUGGGGGAAACCCUGAACCAGCAACGCCGCGUGAGGGAAGAAGGCCUUCGGGUUGUAAACCUAAGUUGUCAGGGACGAAGAAAGUGACGGUACCUGAAGAGUAAGCUCCGGCUAACUACGUGCCAGCAGCCGCGGUAAUACGUAGGGAGCGAGCGUUGUCCGGAAUUACUGGGUGUAAAGGGUGCGUAGGCGGGAAUGCAAGUCUGACGUGAAAUACCGGGGCUCAACCCCGGGAUUGCGUUGGAAACUGUAUUUCUUGAGUGAAGUAGAGGCAGGCGGAAUUCCUAGUGUAGCGGUGAAAUGCGUAGAUAUUAGGAGGAACACCAGAGGCGAAGGCGGCCUGCUGGGCUUUAACUGACGCUGAGGCACGAAAGCAUGGGGAGCAAACAGGAUUAGAUACCCUGGUAGUCCAUGCCGUAAACGAUGAUUGCUAGGUGUGGGGGGACUGACCCCUUCCGUGCCGGAGUAAACACAAUAAGCAAUCCACCUGGGGAGUACGGCCGCAAGGCUGAAACUCAAAGGAAUUGACGGGGACCCGCACAAGCAGUGGAGUAUGUGGUUUAAUUCGACGCAACGCGAAGAACCUUACCAGGCCUUGACAUCCCACUGACCGGUCCUUAACCGGACCUUCUCUUCGGAGCAGAGGUGACAGGUGGUGCAUGGUUGUCGUCAGCUCGUGUCGUGAGAUGUUGGGUUAAGUCCCGCAACGAGCGCAACCCUUGCCAUUAGUUGCCAUCAUUCAGUUGGGCACUCUAGUGGGACUGCCGGGGACAACUCGGAGGAAGGUGGGGAUGACGUCAAAUCAUCAUGCCCCUUAUGAUUUGGGCUACACACGUGCUACAAUGGCGUAAACAAAGGGAAGCGAGCCCGCGAGGGGGAGCAAAUCCCAAAAAUAACGUCUCAGUUCGGAUUGUAGUCUGCAACUCGACUACAUGAAGCUGGAAUCGCUAGUAAUCGCGAAUCAGAAUGUCGCGGUGAAUACGUUCCCGGGUCUUGCACACACCGCCCGUCA